rnacentral:rRNA from 1 species
AUGAACGCUAGCUACAGGCUUAACACAUGCAAGUCGAGGGGCAGCAUUUCAGUUUGCUUGCAAACUGGAGAUGGCGACCGGCGCACGGGUGAGUAACACGUAUCCAACCUGCCGAUAACUCGGGGAUAGCCUUUCGAAAGAAAGAUUAAUACCCGAUGGUAUAAUCAGACUGCAUGGUCUUGUUAUUAAAGAAUUUCGGUUAUCGAUGGGGAUGCGUUCCAUUAGGCAGUUGGUGAGGUAACGGCUCACCAAACCUUCGAUGGAUAGGGGUUCUGAGAGGAAGGUCCCCCACAUUGGAACUGAGACACGGUCCAAACUCCUACGGGAGGCAGCAGUGAGGAAUAUUGGUCAAUGGGCGCAGGCCUGAACCAGCCAAGUAGCGUGAAGGAUGACUGCCCUAUGGGUUGUAAACUUCUUUUAUAUGGGAAUAAAGUUUUCCACGUGUGGAAUUUUGUAUGUACCAUAUGAAUAAGGAUCGGCUAACUCCGUGCCAGCAGCCGCGGUAAUACGGAGGAUCCGAGCGUUAUCCGGAUUUAUUGGGUUUAAAGGGAGCGUAGGUGGACAGUUAAGUCAGUUGUGAAAGUUUGCGGCUCAACCGUAAAAUUGCAGUUGAUACUGGCUGUCUUGAGUACAGUAGAGGUGGGCGGAAUUCGUGGUGUAGCGGUGAAAUGCUUAGAUAUCACGAAGAACUCCGAUUGCGAAGGCAGCUCACUGGACUGCAACUGACACUGAUGCUCGAAAGUGUGGGUAUCAAACAGGAUUAGAUACCCUGGUAGUCCACACAGUAAACGAUGAAUACUCGCUGUUUGCGAUAUACAGUAAGCUGCCAAGCGAAAGCAUUAAGUAUUCCACCUGGGGAGUACGCCGGCAACGGUGAAACUCAAAGGAAUUGACGGGGGCCCGCACAAGCGGAGGAACAUGUGGUUUAAUUCGAUGAUACGCGAGGAACCUUACCCGGGCUUAAAUUGCAUUUGAAUAUAUUGGAAACAGUAUAGCCGUAAGGCAAAUGUGAAGGUGCUGCAUGGUUGUCGUCAGCUCGUGCCGUGAGGUGUCGGCUUAAGUGCCAUAACGAGCGCAACCCUUAUCUUUAGUUACUAACAGGUCAUGCUGAGGACUCUAGAGAGACUGCCGUCGUAAGAUGUGAGGAAGGUGGGGAUGACGUCAAAUCAGCACGGCCCUUACGUCCGGGGCUACACACGUGUUACAAUGGGGGGUACAGAAGGCAGCUACCUGGUGACAGGAUGCUAAUCCCAAAAGCCUCUCUCAGUUCGGAUCGAAGUCUGCAACCCGACUUCGUGAAGCUGGAUUCGCUAGUAAUCGCGCAUCAGCCAUGGCGCGGUGAAUACGUUCCCGGGCCUUGUACACACCGCCCGUCAAGCCAUGAAAGCCGGGGGUACCUGAAGUACGUAACCGCAAGGAGCGUCCUAGGGUAAAACUGGUAAUUGGGGCU